CCCAGGAGGCAGUGCAGAGGAGGGGACUGGGCCAUGGCCGGGGCUCUGGGCUCUGGGACGCUGGGCUGGCCACCUCCAGGCCUGAGCUUUUAUCCGGACCCAAGGUAGUGUCUGCUCCUGAAAAAUCCAACAGAGCAGCCUGGAGAAGAGGAAUCGGGGGCGGUGGGUGAGGAACAUGGAGGAAGGUGGGCCCCAGGCAGCCCUGAGCCCGUUUGCUGUGUGACCUCGGCCCCUUCUGUUUUCUUCCUGGAGAAUGUGAUGGCUGGAGCUUCAGCACCCAUUUUGUGACACUGAAGCAAUCCCAAGGACAGAAGUCAUACAGAAGGAUGACAGAGCAUAAAGAAGCCUAAGGCAUUGGUGAAAACACAGACGCACUCUGCCGGCCAGAACGUAUUUACUGUGAGAGGAAUCACCAGCUCGUCUUCAGUUGUGGACAUUUGGGUGUGUGAGAACAGCCACAUGUCCUUCCUGUCCAUGCAGUAAAGAGGUACCUAGAGUCUCCUUGUCAACAAACAGGGCCACGUGAGCUGGAUGACAGCGUGGACUCACAACAGAUUCAGCGUUCCCACAGGUAAGCGGCUGGACGGUCACCCGGAGGAGGGUCUGCAGCCGAGGGCCACCAACUCUGUGCCCAGCUUCGUCAAGGGCACUGGUAGGAUCUUGAAUGAAGAUACGAACUGAUCUAAUUUGGGGAAAGUUCCAAGUGCAGAGCUGGCUACUCAAGAGAGGCUGACAGUCCGGCUCCGAGGGUUCCACAGAGCUCCCCGCGUCCUCCCCCUCGGUUCAGGGUCGGGCGGCGUCGGGGAGCCAGCGGCCCGCGUGGAAAGGGCAUGGUGGUCGUUGCCCUCCAGACAUCAAGGGCAGAAGACACACAUGUGGUCCCAUUUGCAUUUACAAGAAACGGGUGUUCAAGGAGGCGGCCUCUGGUUCCCUACGCAGGAUGUGCCGCAGGAUGUGCCGUAGCCGGAGAAAGUGGGCCAACGCAAGGUUAGUGAGGGACUCAGGGAUGUUUUGUCCAAAAAGAAAAAAGAACUCGGAUGUGAUGGUUGUCUCCAGGUACCUACAGGGGGGUAGUCCAGGGAGGCGGAAGAGCUUUCUGAGCUGAGAGCUGCUGUCUUAGGGGAGUGAGCCGACCGUCACUAGAGGUGACCACGAAGGGCCCAGCCGGGUACACCGCCGAGCCCCGUGUGACGGGGUUGGAUGGGAUCGUCGCUGAGGUGCUUGAGGAGCGAGGA